rnacentral:lncRNA from 1 species
AAGGAAGAACUUUGGAGGACAGCAAACAUGCACUGUAGGAAAAGUCAACUUCUAGCGUAUCCUGAAUUUCCAUAAGUUAAAAUUUGCAUAGACAAUAGUCUGGUAGCAAUAUAUGAAAUAAUAGGAAUAAAGCUUUUUUUUUUUUUUUCUUCUUCUCAUUUGUUUCUCCCUAGUACUUCAUUGUUCAGGGAAAAAGGACAAAGCGGUUGAUAGAAAUAACAGUAGAAGAGUAGAAUAUGUGAUCACACUCAGGGUGGUGGUCUCCAGCUUUCACUUGAACUUUGAGAACAAGUAAAGGAAUCCAGACUGUUGAAUGAGAACUGACCCCCACAAUUUUUAGAGGUGUUAAUGUCAAUACCUGAAAUACAGUACUGCUCUGGAGAAAAGGAAUAACCGGGGAAAUAGAGAUGCACUGAGAGCUCUUGUGAUUCACUAGCAUAGAAACGUCUUAUCGGAUGAAGUUAUGAACACAUUCUGUAUGCUAUUUUCCAGCCAAGACAGACUGUAGUUUUUCUUCUCUUGUGAGCAGAAAAU